AUCCUCUCUUCCCUCCUCCCAG
rnacentral:miRNA from 1 species